rfam:Gossypium hirsutum cultivar TM-1 chromosome 19, whole genome shotgun sequence
UUCCUCCGGUGCUGUUACUUUGAAGAAAUUAGAGUGCUCAAAGCAGGCCUACGCUUAUAUACAUUAGCACGGGUAAACGGCAGGAGUAACUAUGACUCUCUUAAGGUAGCCAAAUGUCUCGUCAUCUAAUUAGUGACGCGCAUGAAUGGAU